rnacentral:rRNA from 1 species
UGCAGUCGAGCGGAAGGCCCUUCGGGGUACUCGAGCGGCGAACGGGUGAGUAACACGUGAGCAACCUGCCCUAGGCUUUGGGAUAACCCUCGGAAACGGGGGCUAAUACCGAAUAUGACCUCCGAUCGCAUGGUUGGUGGUGGAAAGUUUUUCGGCCUGGGAUGGGCUCGCGGCCUAUCAGCUUGUUGGUGGGGUGAUGGCCUACCAAGGCGACGACGGGUAGCCGGCCUGAGAGGGCGACCGGCCACACUGGGACUGAGACACGGCCCAGACUCCUACGGGAGGCAGCAGUGGGGAAUAUUGCACAAUGGGCGGAAGCCUGAUGCAGCGACGCCGCGUGAGGGAUGACGGCCUUCGGGUUGUAAACCUCUUUCAGCAGGGACGAAGCGAAAGUGACGGUACCUGCAGAAGAAGCGCCGGCCAACUACGUGCCAGCAGCCGCGGUAAGACGUAGGGCGCGAGCGUUGUCCGGAUUUAUUGGGCGUAAAGAGCUCGUAGGCGGCUUGUCGCGUCGACCGUGAAAACCUGGGGCUCAACCCCAGGCCUGCGGUCGAUACGGGCAGGCUAGAGUUCGG